UACGAAGGGGGCUAGCGUUGUUCGGAAUUACUGGGCGUAAAGCGCGCGUAGGCGGAUUGUUAAGUCAGGGGUGAAAUCCCGAGGCUCAACCUCGGAACUGCCUCUGAUACUGGCGAUCUUGAGUCCGGGAGAGGUGAGUGGAAUUCCUAGUGUAGAGGUGAAAUUCGUAGAUAUUCGCAAGAACACCAGUGGCGAAGGCGGCUCACUGGCCCGUAACUGACGCUCAGGCGCGAUAGCGUGGGGAUCAAACAGG
rnacentral:rRNA from 1 species